GAUUCAGUUCUCAUUAACCGGAGAAACCCAGCCGCUGAAAUAUAAACCCUGUGACAACUAGCCCCGCUGGAGCGCGCGCGUGAUUGAUGCUGGUGCUGAUGCUGAUGCUGCGCGCGGAUGCGCUCCUCUGAUUGGCUGAGAGGACGCGACGCGACGCUCUUCACGCGCUGUCCUGCGGAGGUGAUGUCAUGCGUGUGGCUGUCGGACAGGACUGAGGACGCUCGCGGCAUCUCUCAGGCGGACAGACGCGUCUCAUCGCCUCAGCUGUGUUGAAGAGCCACCAGAAGCUAAAGCUAGAAAGAUCUGAGACUUUUCCGAAAUGAUCAAGCGCACCGUGUUCAGUUCUGGUGUCUCAUGCUGUCUGUUGUCAUAGAAACGGCCAUCAGCAGAGAGACGGAGGCCGUCCACGACAUCGCACGCAGAAGCUGCUGCUGGAGAACAAGCCAGAAUGUGAGUGAGAGAACUUUAAACGUGCUUG
rnacentral:lncRNA from 1 species